ACCUUAAAAAACAAAUUGGAACAACACAGAGAAGAUAGCAUGCCCCCUGUGCAAGGAUGACACACAAAUUGAGAAAUGAUCCAUAUUUUU
rfam:Canis lupus familiaris chromosome 1, whole genome shotgun sequence.